rnacentral:rRNA from 1 species
AAUCAACGCUGGCGGCGUGCCUAACACAUGCAAGUCGAGCGAGAAAGGGUAGCAAUACCUGAGUACAGCGGCGCACGGGUGAGUAACACGUGGGUAAUCUGCCCUGGAGUGGGGAAUAACACCGGGAAACCGGUGCUAAUACCGCAUACGAUGACGAGGUCUGCGGAUUUUGUCAUGAAAGGAGCAAUUCGCUCCAGGAGGAGCCCGCGGCUGAUUAGCUAGUUGGUGAGGUAAUGGCUCACCAAGGCUACGAUCAGUAUCCGGUCUGAGAGGACGGUCGGACACACUGGAACUGAGACACGGUCCAGACUCCUACGGGAGGCUG